ACGUCAGAUAAAAAUACAAUCGACCUAAGAAACAGACUGAACACCAGCCCCCGGCAUGUAUCAUGAGGGACGCUGUACAGAGAUGUUAGGGCAAGUUCCUUUAAUUAGAUCGAGAUAUUGUAAUUAUUUCCUUCUUCCAGGUUGUCGGUCGCUAAAUGUGCUUAUAGUUGCCAUGGAGAUGGAGAUGGUAAUUGACUGAAGUCAUGUACCUACCUCUCGAUAGAAGGAAACAAGGAUUUGUCAAUAAUUAUAGUACUGUGAUAAAUAAAUGUUUUGUCAACUUCGA